GACGUAGGAGGCGAGCGUUGUCCGGAGUUACUGGGCGUAAAGCGCGCGCAGGCGGCCCUGUGCGCUGCCGGUGAAAGCUCCCGGCUUACCUGGGAGAGGUUCGGCAGGACGGCAGGGCUGGAGGGUGGGAGAGGUCGGUGGAAUUCCCGGUGUAGUGGUGAAAUGCGUAGAGAUCGGGAGGAACACCCGUAGCGAAGGCGGCCGACUGGACCACAACUGACGCUGAGGCGCGAAAGCUAGGGGAGCAAACAGG
rnacentral:rRNA from 1 species